GGAAUUUUGCUUAGAGACUCACAAUUCCCUGCCUGCAAAUUAAGCAAUUGCUCCGAAACCUUGCCAAUCUCUUGUAGCUGUCGGCAUUCCGAAACAUCCAAUUGAAGUAAAUUAUGUAGGUGCCCGCAUGGUGGAAUCUUAGCAAAAUUAUUUUUGGACAAAUUCAAAUUUUGCAAGGAUGAAAAACAUGAAUGAUUCUCUAGGAACUCUACUUCUUGUAGAUUGCAUCGCCCAAGGCAUAAGGACCGUAGCUUGGGAAAUCCUAUCUUGCCACGCAAAUCACUCGAAUCCUCCUCCUUUGGAAACUUGAUUAGUUUUGAACAACCAUCAAGCUGAAAGCUCUCAAGAUUUGGCAACUUGUAAAUGCUAGAUGGGAGGUUUGCCAAUUUCUUGCAAUUAAAUAAACCCAAAAUCUUUAAAGAGACAAGAUUUUCUAUGGAUGCAGGAAGUUCCUCAAUUGAAGUCUCAUGUAAAAAAAGUUGUAGCAAGCAUUUCAUUUUAUCCGGAAUAUCAGGGAAUCUUUGCAACUUUGAGCAAUCACUAAGAUCGAGCCAUUCAAGAUUCUUGGGUUGGAGUAUAUUGGGGAGAUGAUGAAGGUUAGAGCAACCUUUUAGAUCCAACCUCCUCAACUUGGUGUGAUAUGCAAUUGAUUCGUGAGCACACUCCAAAUUUUCGCACCAACUGAGAUCCAAUUCCUCGAGAUUUGGACAAAAAUCGAGGUUCGGCAUAUGAACCAUGGACAGACAUUUACUGAAGUAAAGGAACUUCAAAUUUUUUAAGUCCUGCAAGAAAUAUCCACAUGGAAAGAAAAUGAAGAUAAAAUGAAAUAAUGGGGGGAGGGGGGGUGAGGGAGGGAGGGAGAGUCUAACCUCACUACGGACCGAAUCACGAAAUAAUUGGUUAACGUACAAUAUGUCGGAGGGAAUUUUGCUUAGAGACUCACAAUUCCCUGCUUGCAAAUUAAGCAAUUGCUCCGAAACCUUGCCAAUCUCUUGUAGCGUCGGCAUUCCGAAACAUCCAAUUGAAGUAAAUUAUGUAGGUGCCCGCAUGGUGGAAUCUUAGCAAAAUUAUUUUUGGACAAAUUCAAAUUUUGCAAGGAUGAAAAACAUGAAUGAUUCUCUAGGAACUCUACUUCUUGUAGAUUGCAUCGCCCUAGGCAUAAGGACCGUAGCUUGGGAAAUCCUAUCUUGCCACGCAAAUCACUCAAAUCCUCCUCCUCCUUUGGAAACUUGAUUAGUUUUGAACAACCAUCAAGCUGAAAGCUCUCAAGAUUUGGCAACUUGUAAAUGCUAGAUGGGAGGUUUGCCAAUUUCUUGCAAUUAAAUAAACCCAAAAUCUUUAAAGAGACAAGAUUUUCUAUGGAUGCAGGAAGUUCCUCAAUUGAAGUCUCAUGUAAAAAAGGUUGUAGCAAGCAUUUCAUUUUAUCCGGAAUAUCAGGGAAUCUUUGCAACUUUAAGCAAUCACUAAGAUCGAGCCAUUCAAGAUUCUUGGGUUGGAAUAUAUCGGGGAGAUGAUGAAGGUUAGAGCAACCUUUUAGAUCCAACCUCCUCAACUUGGUGUGAUAUGCAAUUGAUUCGUGAGCACGCUCCAAAUUUUCGCACCAACUGAGAUCCAAUUCCUCGAGAUUUGGACAAAAAUCAAGGUUCGGCAUAUGAACCAUGGACAAACAUUUACUGAAGUAAAGGAAC
rnacentral:lncRNA from 1 species